AACGCGAAGAACCUUACCUGGCCUUGACAUCCAGAGAACUUUCCAGAGAUGGAUUGGUGCCUUCGGGAACUCUGAGACAGGUGCUGCAUGGCCGUCGUCAGCUCGUGUCGUGAGAUGUUGGGUUAAGUCCCGUAACGAGCGCAACCCCUAUCCCUGGUUGCUAGCAGGUAAUGCUGAGAACUCCAGGGAGACUGCCGGUGACAAACCGGAGGAAGGUGGGGAUGACGUCAGGUCAUCAUGGCCCUUACGGCCAGGGCUACACACGUGCUACAAUGGCGCGUACAGAGGGCUGCCAACUCGCGAGAGUGAGCCAAUCCCUUAAAACGCGUCGUAGUCCGGAUCGGAGUCUGCAACUCGACUCCGUGAAGUCGGAAUCGCUAGUAAUCGCGAAUCAGAAUGUCGCGGUGAAUACGUUCCCGGGUCUUGUACACACCG
rnacentral:rRNA from 1 species